UCUUCCCAAAGACCACUAUUAGUUGUCUCCAAUCACUAUAUGGAAACAACAAGAGAGAGGUUUCAUUUUUCAAAUCCGUUUAUGGACUAUGAAGAUUAUACUAGGACAACGAGAAGAACUACAACGUCAAAGACAACGAGAAAACCAUUAGUUAUCCCAAAUCCAUUCAUGAGUGCCACAAGGACGACGAAAAAAGGAGCAACUAAAACAACAAGGGAGCCAAUAAUUAUCGCAAAUCCUUUUAAUAGUUCUAAAAAGACAACUAAAAAAUCAAAAACGACACAACCGACGAGGAGACCUAUAAUUAUACCGAAUCCCUUUGAGUAUUCAACGAGAAGUCCAAAAACGUCGAAACCGACAAGAUUGAGUAUUGUUAUUUCCAAUCCGUUUAUAGCGUCUACACCAAGAAGGCGUAUAAAGAUUUCCAAUCCCUAUAUUCCAACGAGGAAAUCCACAAGAAAGAGUUUCCACUUUUAUAACCCAUUUAUGGAGUAUGAAUUCCUACCUCAAUAAUGCAUGGCUAAUACCCACAAAUAAGAAGCAUUCGAAAGCAACAUUUAAAAAAUGUUGUUUAAGGGCUUUUUUAAUUCUUGAAUCGGUAAGCACGAUGCGGAUGGACUUAAGACUUUGUUGAUUAUUUCAAAGUGUGGAUGGUCUUUGAAAAGCUUUUAUAUCGGGACCAACCGGAUAA